ACGUGCUGCAUCAGGUGCUUGUGACUGUGCCUUUUGAAGUCAGGUACCUGAAGUAGCGCGCGG
rnacentral:pre_miRNA from 1 species